AAAGAAACCACCAAAAACCCCAUUGCCUCCCUCUCUUCCUUCUGUCCCUAUCAGUAGUUAAAUAUUCUUCGAUUGUUCUUCUCUGGUGUUAUGUGUAAAGUUCCGAAUAACUUUGAAAUGUUGAUUGUUUCUGUUAUUUUAGCCAGGUCCAUCAUUUCGAGUUAUGACCGAUUCUCGAGAAUUCACAUACAGUAUGAUAUUUUAGUAUUUUGUUUUCAAUUAGUUGCCACUCCAU
rnacentral:misc_RNA from 1 species